UCGAAACCUGCAAAAGCAGACGACCCGCGAACGCGUUAAAAAGUACCAAGGUGGAUUGGUGAAGGGUGCGAGCCCUGAUCUAGUCCGCUUGUCGGGUCGCGAAGUCGGCGGCAUCCCUUGCGGUUGUGGCCGCUCUGCGUUCUCGCACAACUUAAAAAUCCGGCGCGAUUGGCGUCAAGGAAAUCUUAGCGGAAACAAAGCGUUGUGCCUUCACCGGUACAUCGCCAAGAAUCCCAAUACUCAAACGACUCUCGGCAACGGAUAUCUCGGCUCUUGCAUCGAUGAAGAACGUAGCGAAAUGCGAUACUUGGUGUGAAUUGCAGAAUCCCGUGAACCAUCGAGUUUUUGAACGCAAGUUGCGCCCGAUGCCAUUAGGUUGAGGGCACGUCUGCCUGGGCGUCACACACAGCGUCGCUCCCCACCAACCUAGUUGGUGAAGAGCGGAGAUUGGCCCCCCGAGUCCUCCGGGCACGGUCGGCACAAAUAUUGGUCCCCGACAGCGAGUGUCGCGGUCAGCGGUGGGUUGUAUUCUUCCUCCAAAGACAAAAUGACGCGUACCUCGUCGUGUGCGGGAUCGAAACGACCCCUGAAAGCCAUUUGCGGCAUUCACCCUGCGACCCCAGGUCAGGCGGGAUUACC
rnacentral:rRNA from 1 species